CGCCUCUUGAUUUAAAAUAAGAGGUCCAGCCUGCCCAGUGAAUUUUUAACGGCCGCGGUAUCCUAACCGCGCGAAGGUAGCAUAAUCAUUUGUUCUUUAAAUGGGGACUCGUAUCAACGGCAUCACGAGGGUUUUACUGUCUCCUCCUUUUAAUCAGUGAAAUUGAUCUUCCCGUGAAGAAGCGGGAAUGCCUGUAUAAGACGAGAAGACCCCAUGGAGCUUUAAACCAAAUAGUAACUUAACCACAUAACCCCUAAUAAUUUUGAGUUUAUGCUAUAAGGUUUUCGGUUGGGGUGACCGCGGAGUAAAACAUAUCCUCCACGACGAAAAGGCCACAAUCUUUAUUUAAGAAUUACAAUUCUAGAAAUUAGUAUACUAACGUUUACUGACCCGAUAAUCGAUCAACGGACCAAGUUACCCUGGGGAUAACAGCGCAAUCUACUUCAAGAGCCCAUAUCGACAAGUAGGCUUACGACCUCGAUGUUGGAUCAGGGUAUCCCAGUGGUGCAGCCGCUACUAAAGGUUCGUUUGUUCAACGAUUAAAACCCU
rnacentral:rRNA from 1 species